rfam:Phascolarctobacterium sp. YIT 12067 genomic scaffold Scfld61, whole genome shotgun sequence.
UGACACAACUCUGGAGAGUCCCUUAAAUGGGCGCCGAAGGUGCAAAGAUGUCUUCUGAAAUUCAGAAACGUCCUUAUCUCUCAGGCCAGUGGACAGAGCAAAGCUU